UCUAAACGACUCUCGGCARCGGAUAUCUCGGCUCUCGCAUCGAUGAAGAACGUAGCGAAAUGCGAUACUUGGUGUGAAUUGCAGAAUCCCGUGAACCAUCGAGUCUUUGAACGCAAGUUGCGCCCGAAGCCUUCUGGCCGAGGGCACGUCUGCCUGGGCGUCA
rnacentral:rRNA from 1 species